GAUGAACGCUGGCGGCGUGCCUAAUACAUGCAAGUCGAGCGAACAGACGAGGAGCUUGCUCCUCUGACGUUAGCGGCGGACGGGUGAGUAACACAUGGAUAACCUACCUAUAAGACUGGGAUAACUUCGGGAAACCGGAGCUAAUACCGGAUAAUAUAUUGAACCGCAUGGUUUAAUAGUGAAAGACGGUUUUGCUGUCACUUAUAGAUGGAUCCGCGCCGCAUUAGCUAGUUGGUAAGGUAACGGCUUACCAAGGCAACGAUGCGUAGCCGACCUGAGAGGGUGAUCGGCCACACUGGAACUGAGACACGGUCCAGACUCCUACGGGAGGCAGCAGUAGGGAAUCUUCCGCAAUGGGCGAAAGCCUGACGGAGCAACGCCGCGUGAGUGAUGAAGGUCUUCGGAUCGUAAAACUCUGUUAUUAGGGAAGAACAAAUGUGUAAGUAACUAUGCACGUCUUGACGGUACCUAAUCAGAAAGCCACGGCGAACUACGU
rnacentral:rRNA from 1 species